UACGUAGGGGGCAAGCGUUGUCCGGAAUCAUUGGGCGUAAAGAGCGCGUAGGCGGGUCAUCCAGUCUGCUGUGAAAGUCAAAGGCUCAACCUUUGAAAGCCGGCGGAUACUGAUGAUCUAGAGUACGGAAGAGGCGAGUGGAAUUCCUGGUGUAGCGGUGGAAUGCGCAGAUAUCAGGAGGAACACCAAUAGCGAAGGCAGCUCGCUGGGACGUUACUGACGCUGAGGCGCGAAAGCGUGGGGAGCAAACAGGA
rnacentral:rRNA from 1 species